UGGGGAAUAUUGCACAAUGGAGGGAACUCUGAUGCAGCGACGCCGCGGGAGUGAUGAAGGAAUUCGUUUCGUAAAACUCUGUUCUAUGGGAAGAAAAGGACUGUACCAUAGGAGAAAGCUCCGGCUAAAUACGUGCCAGCAGCCGCGGUAAUACGUAUGGAGCGAGCGUUGUCCGGAAUUAUUGGGCGUAAAGGGUGCGCAGGCGGCUUUACAAGUUGGAUGUGAAAUAUUGUGGCUCAACCACAAACGUGCAUCCAAAACUGCAAAGCUUGAGUUCAGGCGAGGUAAUUGGAAUUCCUGGUGUAGCGGUGGAAUGCGUAGAUAUCAGGAGGAAUACCGGUGGCGAAUGCGACUUACUGGACUUAAACUGACGCUCAGGCACGAAAGCGUGAGGAGCAAACAGG
rnacentral:rRNA from 1 species